CCUACGGGAGGCAGCAGUGGGGAAUUUUGGACAAUGGGCGCAAGCCUGAUCCAGCAAUGCCGCGUGCAGGAUGAAGGCCUUCGGGUUGUAAACUGCUUUUGUACGGAACGAAGCGGCGAGCUCUAAUAAAGCUCGCUAAUGACGGUACCGUAAGAAUAAGCACCGGCUAACUACGUGCCAGCAGCCGCGGUAA
rnacentral:rRNA from 1 species